UGCGGAUUCAUAUUGGGAGAACUGAUCUUCACGUAACACCUUAAUUAAUCCUGGACACUAAUAUCUAGAUGACGGUUUUGCCAUGGCCAGUGUGGAAGUGCAAGGGAAUGGAUGAGGAUGCAGAGUUGAGGGAAGGAGAAAAAAGAGGUAUGUUUAGUGCUGUAAGGGGCAGUAAAUGUAUAGGUGAAGGUUUUGCCAUGGCCAGUGUGGAAGCCUUCAUGCAUCGUGAGGGAAUACGAGGGAAUGGAGAUGAGGAUGCGGAGUUGAGGAAAGGAGAAGAAAAAGGCUUGUGAAGUGCUGUAAGGGGUAGUAAAUGUGUAGAGAAUCUGUGUUGAGAUGCUUUUCAUCCGUUAGAAAUUUGAGGUAAUUAUUAAAAAUUUUGAGUAGCGUAAAUUAUCCAUAUUUACGAUGAACCAUUUUUGUGCAUGGAGGUUGUGCAGUCUUUUAGUGUUGGGAUGCCUCGUCCAGGAUUACUUCCCUUGGUAGAGGUGUGGUGAGCCCCGACCUUAAGUGUAGGUAGAAAGCCUGAAGUACUUUUUCUUCCCUUUCUGUCCAGCCGUCUCCAUUCUUUCCCUCCUCUGCUGUCUUUAGGGAGAGGUCUGUCUGCAUACCAAAAGUUUAACAGACCAGUAGAAGCUUUCAGGCAUAUGAGAAUAGCUGAUUCAAUUGCCAUGAAUAAUGAAACUCCCAUUUUUCAAUACCUGACUUGCACCAAGUAAAUCAAAUAAGUAGAAAUUCACAUCUGUUCAGUUCUUCCAGAAGGCAGUGUUAUCACCUCAUCAUGAUCAUUGUCGUCACCACCAUUGUUGUGAUGAUCAUUAUCAACAAUGUUUUUUAUAUUUUUAUAUGACCUUGAUUUGCUGUUCUCUGAUUGGUAUCAAAACAUCCAGAAGGCAGACAAUGGCAGUUCAGGUGUUCAGCUUCUGCAAUAUAAUCUGCUCCUCAUGUGUCACAGGUUGAAGAAUAGUAUUACAAUUUAAAUGAGUUGAAAACAUGUAAACAAAAUUCCAGUAGUUAUUUGCCCCUUAUUGGAUUGCACAUGUUAUCCAAGGCAUGAGGUGCUGACAUGCUAGUAAACACCUGUAAAGCCCAAUGUAAAGCAGCUGUGUUGAUCCCUUCCAUCCUAAAGCAAGUUUACACUUCUUUGAGGGAGUAGUAAGUAUGAGUCAAACUGAUGCAACAUUUACUUCGUGAGUUUUUUUUUUUUUUUUUCUGCUUUAUUGGUGGACAGUGACACAAAACUGGCAACAACUGAUGAUGCAGAAAGUAACAGAAAUGCAAACCACAAGCCUACUUUUUGAAAUGCACAAUGUCCCACCACCAAUGGCAUUCCCCUCAUUUUCUUUUUAUAUGCCUUUGCAGUCCCCAAGGAUAACCAAAUUUUACUUUACACCCUCUUAUUAAUUGCAUAGAGUAACCAUAUUUCAUUUAACUUGAUGUGUAUCCCUCAGAAAGAUGACAAGACAUUGAAAUCAGUGACAUUCUUCCCAGAGAGUCUUUGAUAAACUCUACUUCACAGUGCAGAGAAUGGAAAGGAAAUACAUCCACCAUGACAUCAGAAUGAGAGACGAGAACUUCAUAACUGAGGACUUGGUGUCUAAAUGAAAACUUAUCAGCAUCAUAGUCAUUAGUAAUCUUUCUGCAUCAGUUAAUUUGUUUUUAUCAGCAUUAUCAAGCACUCUCAUCACCACCACCACCAUCACCACCAUCACCAUAUACAGGCCAAUGCAGGACAAGGGCCGACCUUUCUUCACACAUCAGCGCUGUUUGUUGGUUGUAGUUCAUGUUGGCAUCUUGUGUAUUGUUAUUAGUGUGAUGUCUGUGUUGUGUCUCCCUCACCUUGUUUCUCAGCUCUGGGUUAUCAUUUGGUCAGUCUAACCGUCCAACUGUUGUUAUUUGCUCUAUGCAUAACAUAAGCUGUCCAAGGCUUCUUCUCGCUAUUGGUGGCCAGAAUAUCAUGAACAGUAUUCGCUCCAUAACUUUUUGCGUUGUCUUUUUUUCAUUAUUUUUGUGACGCUUUGUUGAACUGACAAUGUGUUUUUUUGUUUUUGAUUUUUUAGUGAUGGUAAAUGAUUUUUUUUAUGAUAUCGGCCAAUACACUUCACUCCAUAUUUAUCAAUUUUCUGUGGUAAGUUACUUUUUAUACCACUUAUUUCUUCAAAGUAUUUCAUCCCACACUUCAUUAAUGUCUUUGUUUUACUUUCCUUUUAAUAACCAGCUUACAUGGUUUGUCUCAAAUAGGUCUACUCCCAAAAUCUUCUCAUCGUAUAUUGAUUGCAAAUUCAUGUCUGACCAGAGUCUUUCUUAUAUUUAGUUUCUUUAUGUAUCAUCAUAUAAAUGCCUGUUAGCUUUUUAUUUUUUUAAUUUAUUUAUUCUACAUUACAAAGUAUCAUCAAAUCUGACACCAAUCGUCACUAAUUUGGUCCCUGAUUAUUCGCUUUGCAAGUUAACUGCACCUUGCUACCACACAGGAACUUGCAGAGUAAUGACUUCUGCCUGAAACAUGACUCCCCUCUAAUCUUGAAGCCAGUGAAGGAUAGAGUGUAAGUCAGUAGCUUCUUAUAUAGCAGAGAAUAACUAAAAAAAAAUCAUGGCCAGGAACUCAUCUCAACAUCUGUUUCUCUGCUCUUGCAUCACAGAAGGCCGUGGCAUCAGCACCUUAAAUCCCUCCCUCCUAUUCUCACUUGAUGUAUGUCCAAGAGUAUUAUUACUUUAGGGUUCCAGAAGGCAACAUCUUAGGUACACCACAUGCAUACUGAAGACACUGGGAUGGGGCAGCAUUACAUAGUUUCAACUCCUCAGUGCAUCACAAAAUAUACUCUUCAGUGCCAUUUAACUAAGUGGACACCAUCACACUCUUCUCUAUGUUCGUAUGUGUUAACUGUGCCAGAAACAUGUCAUUUGGUUGAUCAAGGGUCUCAUGUGUGUUGAUUCCCCCGUGCAGACCUGAGAAACAUCAAACUAUUGCUUACGUAAAUUCAUUGCCCUGCUGACUGAGUAAACUGCCGAGACUUUGCUGCAGAAAUUUGGUGGAGUCAGUUGAGGAUGUUCUGAAAGGUAGAUUUAAGUACAGAAUUGAGUAUUGCUUGCUGUCCAGUCAUACGGAGCUGAUUUAACUAAGAUUUCACUGGGAUAAAAUUCAUAAUUUCUCUCUCUCUCUCUCUCUCUCUCUCUCUCUCUUUUCCUUUUGUGUCACAAUGUAAGGAAUUGAGUGUUUUGCAAUCUGUCACCUUGCACUUGGAUGUUUGUUGUUGUACUUCCCUGCAUUUACUCUUAGUUUUGUUUUGCAAAAGUACAAAUAAAGUUUAUUUUAUCUCACGAAAUAAGUUUUCCGGUAACAUUUUAUGACGGAGAGAUUAGGCUCCAUAUUUGGUGACUUUUUUUAUAUAAGUUCACCAUGCAAUAUCUACUUUUGGGAAGUGCCAAGACAUAGAGCAGGAAACAAAGUAAACUGUUUUAACAUUGCCCUGUGAAGGAGUAACACCACUGAUGCAUUUCAGAAUAGAACAAAGUGCAUUUUACUGAGCAAUGCAAUAUUACCAAUCUGUGUACCUGGAUAAAGAUUAUGAACCAUUAGUAAACAGGCAAAGUAUUUCAAUGUUUUAUUCUAUCUUGUUUCAUGGUUUAAAAGUCGUUCUCAAUUCAUUUAUGUUUUCAACUGUGACUUUUCUACUUGACUUUUCAUAGUUUCAAGUGCAGGGAUUCUGGCUACUUAAUGAAAACACUUGCGACUGAGAGCGUGCCAAGCUGUCCUGUCCCUUGUGCCGUCAUGCAGGCAUGAGAGUGACGUACGAUUCCUGCACUGCACAAAGUGUCCUGCGCUAGUGAGGUGUGGAGGAGGCAGAGAUGUGUUUCAGCUAUAAUGUGCCCACUUACGAUUUAUUUUUUUCACAUGAAGUAAUAUUCCGAACAUUUUUUUUUAUGUACAUGAAGGUAGUAUUACUGUAGCUUAAGUUAUGGGUAAAUACAACCUAUAUUUUAUACUGAGCAAAGGCUAAAGUAGUGAAGGUUUGUUGUUUAAUGCCAAGCCAAGUCAAAAUAGCUUCAGGAUUUUCCCUACUCCACUAAGUGAUAGCCUGGUCCUGGUAGGUCAUGUCCGUCAACACAUGGGAGCAGUCGAGACAGACUUGUUGUGAACCACACUUCAAGAUACUUAGACAGGAAUGUUCACCGGUAACUUUUCUGUUGAAUUCAUUGAGGGAAAGCAGGUCUUCAAGAUACUAAAUUACCAAAGUUUGUUGUAUGUUUGAUUGCCAAAUGACUUGUGGGUCGCCCCGCAGCAGUUCUUUGUUAACAUUCCCACUCGUGUCUUUGAUAUUAAAGCAUUUACACUGCAGGUUAUUUUUUACUACAUUGUGUAUUUUAUAUUCCAGUAACUACAGAUUAGAUCAAUUCCAGUGGAACAUUUUGAUCAACAAGGCUAGCAUAUGUGUUCUCUAUUACCCUUCCAAAGAUUUGUGGUAUGUAAUAAAGUUUUUUUAAUGUAUGUUUAUAUAUGUACAUAUAGACUUGUUAGAACUGUGUACCUCAUGGCUAUCAAGGCUAACUACAAUUUGUAUGUGUGCAGAACUUGGGUAUGUUAUAAAUUUAGUGAUGCAUCAUAUGUGAGUCAGGUUCACCCUAGCGUGUCGUGUAGGAGGCCUCUAGCAGUCUGCACGAGCCUGGUCAUGGAAGAAUACUUUGUGAUGUAGACGAUAGCUAACUGUUCCUACCAUGUGUGUCCGAGGAGGCUGGCAGCAGCUACCUCUGAUGGCUGCUGCAGCUCGCCUUGCCAGUCAUUAUAUUGGAUAUAAAGAAGUUAAUAAAAAGACCAAUAAAGUGAAUA